rnacentral:lncRNA from 1 species
UUGUCUGUGAAAUGGGAUUUACAAGCAUGUUUUGAUUGGUAACCAUUUUUGUCUUACAACCUACAAGCUAAAACCAACAUGAUUUUACAUGCUUUUAUAAUCAUGGGUAUGAUUGUACUUCCAAUGUUUUCAAUCUCUUUUUGCUGCCAGUGUAUUCUUUUCACUCUGCCUCAUGAGGGUGCGUGUUCCAGAGGCUUUUUGAAAGAUAUCAUCAUCAUCAUGUAUAGGAAGCUGCAUUUUGUUGGUGUUUUUUUAGCAUGUUUAUUUUCUUGUGUUCAAGGUCUUUUGCUUUAUCACUUGUAUUGUUGUUUGUCUGCAACUUUUUAAAAAUUCUUGCCUUUCCACCAUAUUUUCUAAGCAGGUUCUUCUUCUGGUUUUGCUUCCUGUUCGUACUGGUCACAAAAUCUAGGUUUAAGCUUACUGGUAUCUCUUUAUGUUUUCUACUAUUUUUAACAAUAUGCAUAUUUGUACUUUCAUUUAGCCUUAGUUUUUAAACUGUAGCCAUAUUCAGUUUUUAUUUUCCCAAUUACUAUUUUACUGCCUUGAUGUCAUUUGGCUCUUUUUUUUUUUUUAAUUUUUCCCUUUUUUUCAGCCUAAUGUAAAGAGACUACUUCCAACAAGACAGAAAGUUUUACUAUUUUGUUUUUAAAAAAUAAUAUUUUAUACAACACACAACCCUAUUCAAUAGAAAUAAAGUAAAAAGAUUGUCCAUCUCUCUCAUUUUUUAACUAUUCCCAUGUGUUUUUAACAUGGGCAUCUAGACCUUAUUCAAUCAGCUUUUCUAGCUGAGCUGCUUUGCUGCAUUAUUUUUGCUAAUGUUGCAGGCUUGCAGCCAACCCAAGAUCAUGUUAACCACUUAUCCACAAUUCCUGGAUGUCAUAAAACUCCAAACAGAAACCAGUUUCUAGUCUUGAAACAAAGUUGAACAAAAAUCCUGAAUUUCUGUUCAUGGUCUUGACAUAGCCCAACCCCAAACUAAACCUCUAAAGAUGUUUGUCCAGCCAUUAGCAAAAGUGCAGGAGAUGGGAGGUGGGCCCAGUGGAGUCAUACUGAAAAGGGGUCCCAUCCCUCAAACCACUGUAGCUUUAUAUACAGUUAGAAGAAGAAUUAGGUGUAAUGUCACCAUGACUUGUCAUUGAGCAUCUGAGCAGCAAAUGUCUACAUCUGUUUGUGUGUAUUAAGAGAGAAUGAGAGUUUUUAAACAUUGAAGGGUUACAUGUUUGGAAGGAAACAAAAAGGCAAAAGCUCUAUCAAGGGUUUUGAGGUUAGUUGGGGGAACAAAACCCUGUGUUUCCAUUAAAAUCACCUCUUAACUGUUGAACAUGACAUGUUAAUACACUUUGAUUAAGCAUUAAUGUCUGGGAGUACAACUUACUAGAAAGGUGCUGGCAUAAUUAAUUAGAUAUUCAUUAGUUCUGUUGUUUCUAUACUUUUAGGUGUUUGAUUGCCUUUAGUCUAAAUUUAAUGUUCGUGAUUUUGAUGCGAUAAGUGAAAAAAACAAAGAAACAAUGUAAUUAGAAGCUAAGAGAACAAUACGCUGCAUUAUCCUCUCAAGAAAAAGAAAUUCGUCUGCCUAAACAAAGGGAGGCAUACCAAAGAAGAAGAAUAAAUAAAUUCUUGAGCCUUCCUGCUCCUCAACAACUCAAACAAGCUCAAAAAAAUGGUUCUUUCGGACGAAGGAAAAAAAAAGCACAAAUCUGAGGUUGACGCCCUUGCAUCGCAGCUUCAAGAAGCUGCAACUUCUACUGCUUCUGGACUCCAUUAAUGACCAAACUAUACAAGGUCCAACACUGAUUUCACAUUAAGAUCAGCAUCGCCUGCUCCUCCUUCUCAUAACAAUGAAAAAGGAAGAGGAAAAAAGGAAGAGGAAGGGCCAGGUUACUAUUUUCUCAACUUGUGAAAAAGGUUAAAAGAGGAUUAUUCUUUUAGUAUAUAUUAUAUGUUAUAUACACCGUUCAAAUUUUCGACGUGUCUUCUUGUCUUUAACCAGGUUCCUCCUCAAAGGGAAUACCUAAGCAUGCAUGGUGUAGGGAUUCUAAUUCCACUAACCAUUCCUCAGGUUUUGCCACCUCUUGUAAACAGUAGUCUUUGAUAUUCCUCUCAUUCUUUAUUAACAUGUAAACACUGAAUAGUACAGGAAACAUAAGCCAAAAAAGCCAAGCAUUCAACUGUAAACAU